rnacentral:rRNA from 1 species
AUGUCCCGAGUCCCCGAGAGAGCAAGAAACGGAAACCCCAUUCCCCCCUCCCCUCCACACUCCCGAUGUCCCGAGUCCCGAGUCCCCGAGAGAGCAAGGAAACGGAAACCCCAUUCUUCCCCCCACCCCUCCGUACUCCAGAAGUCCAGAUCGAUCCCAAUGGCGUCGUCCACGCUUCGCUGCCUUCCAGGCGACAUCCCGCCGACGACGCUGCUCACCCUACCAGAGGAGAUGCUCGAGGAAAUCCUCCUCUGCCUCUCCGACGCCGCCGACCUCGUCCGCGCCUCCAUGGCCCGCGUCUCCAUCCGCCGCCUCGUCACCAAUCACCGAUUCCUCCGCCGCUUCCGCACUCGCCACCCGCCGCCUCUACUGGGCAUCGUUUCUCCCUAUCCCCUGCACCGGUGGGACCGGCCGCUGCUGAAUCUGGCCCAGCCGCCGCACCCCUCCGCCGCCGCCGCGAGCGCUUUUUCUGGGCUUGACGCCGCCGACUUCUCGUGCACCUUCCUCCCCAACGCCGCGCGCUGGCGGCGCGACUUGCGGGACGGCCGCGUCCUCCUUUCCGGCCUCCCAAAGGGAACCAAAUUCAACAGCCACGCCUUUGUCAGGGACCUGGCUGUCUCUGACCCCCUGUCCCGGCGGUACAUACUGCUACCUCCCAUCCCCGACGACCUAGCCGCCUUGGUGCAGCCGCCGGACUUGGUGCGAUUCGAUCCCUUCCUUGCUCCUCCGGUCGCCGAGGAUGAGGAUGGCAUGUCUUUCAGAGUUAUUUGCUUGGCGCAUUGCACAACCAAGCUGGUCCUCCUCAUCUUCUCUUCAAGUGCUGGACAGUGGCAUCCUGUUACACUUGAAAAUUGGAUCGGUUUGCUCACAGGAUCAGACAACCCGGCUCCAGGCAACCAUCAAGACUUGUACUGGUUGCCGCGAAUGCGCCACUAUGCACACGGAUAUUUCUGUUGGGCAUUUUACGCAAAGGGAUCCAUGUAUCCGGUGAGCAAGUUGCUGAUGCUCGACACACAGAGCAUGGGUUUCUCUGCAGUCGACCUUCCGCCUCUCACCGAUAACACACGGGUUAUCAUUCUGGAGGCAGAGAAUGGAAGGAUUGGGAUGUAUAUGAAUGAGAAUUUGACAGCUGAACUAAGGUAUUAUGUGUUACAAAAUGAUGGAGUUGGUGAAAACCAGUGGCUGCAAAAGGAAACGCUCACUUUAAAUGAUCGCUAUAUGCUCAUUGGCGUAGCGGGGGGAUACUUACUUCUACAAGGGCUUCGACAAGACCAAUAUCCUUUUUUUUUGGUUUCAUUGGAUCUGAAGACUUUGGAGCUUGAGUGGUUCCUUGCAUCAAGGCACACCAACGUGGGUGCUCGUUUGUUUGCCAGUUUCCCACCAUCAUUGUCUCCCCCAACUCUUCGACAUGAUAUCUGA